rnacentral:rRNA from 1 species
UAAAGUGGCGAACGGCUGAGUAACACGUGGGCAACCUGCCCCUCUCAUUGGGAUAGCCACGGGAAACCGUGGAUAAUACCGAAUACUUCGAGACUUCCGCAUGGAAGACUCGAGAAAGCCCCGGCGGAGAGGGAUGGGCCCGCGGCCUGUUAGCUUGUUGGUGGGGUAACGGCCUACCAAGGCAAUGAUGGGUAGCUGGGUUGAGAGACCGACCAGCCAGAUUGGGACUGAGACACGGCCCAG